ensembl:rRNA 5S_rRNA 5S ribosomal RNA
UGUUGCGUGCUGCCCUUGGUGCCCGUCGGGCCUUUCCAGCCAAGCAGGGUCAGUCCUGGUCAGUGCUGAGAUGGGAGCCCAGCAGAGAGCACCCAGGAUGUGCUGGAA